rnacentral:lncRNA from 1 species
CCAAAAUAUAUCAAAUUUUAUUUCAACAAAGUUACAUGCUUCAUACAAAUGUGAUUUGCAAACUCUUCUUAUUAGCAAAGAAAGUAAAUAAACAAGCGCACAUAUUAUGCAAAAACAUGCUCCAACCAUCUGCUCCAGUUUCCAGUGUGACAAUUGGGCUAUGAAUUUACCCUAAGAUAGUUAAUUUUACAUUUCCUGUGUCAUUAGCUUCAUCCAUCUUAUGGACGAUAAGACUUGGUGACCAAACACAAACUGUUUUUUCUCCCAACUGUUGCACCAUAGUUCUCGUUCAUGUCAAAAUUUUCCGGGGUAAUGCCAUCCGGAAGUUUCCAGUCGAAGUGAUAGAGGAGUCGAGCUAAAAUCAGCUCGAGACUGGCUACGACAAAUGAAAUUCCCGGACAAAUCCUCCUGCCAGAACCAAAUGGUAUUAACUCAAAGUCAUUUCCUUUGUAGUUAAUCGAAACUUUGCUAAAUCUUUCAGGUUCAAAAUGUUGGAAUAAUUAAUAAUUUCAUAUGUGGGCUUCACAUUCGAUUGUAAAAUUUUACGGGUUAGAUAUAUGGCUCAUAAUGAUAUUUGUGUUUGGGCCAAAUUUAUUAAUUGAUCAAUUGGGCUUUUUAC